GCUUGGCUGGCUUAGUUGGUAGAGCAUGUGGCUCUUAAUCUCAGCGUCAUGAGUUUGAGCCCCAUGUUGGGCA
rnacentral:tRNA from 1 species